UACGGAGGGUGCAAGCGUUAUCCGGAUUCACUGGGUUUAAAGGGUUCGUAGGUGGCCACUUAAGUCAGACGUGAAAUCCCUCAGCUUAACUGGGGAACUGCGUCUGAUACUGAGUGGCUUGAGUGCAGGAGAGGGAUGCGGAAUUCCAGGUGUAGCGGUGAAAUGCGUAGAUAUCUGGAGGAACACCGGUGGCGAAGGCGGCAUCCUGGACUGUAACUGACACUGAGGAACGAAAGCCAGGGGAGCAAACGGG
rnacentral:rRNA from 1 species